rnacentral:rRNA from 1 species
CGAAACGUUCGGAUAUUGGGUUUAAGGGUGCGUAGGUGGGUUAAUAAGUCAGCGGUGAAAUCCAGAUGCUUAACAUCUGAACUGCCGUUGAAACUGUUAGUCUUGAGUGUGAACGAGGUAGGCGGAAUUCGUAGUGUAGCGGUGAAAUGCAUAGAUAUUACGAAGAACUCCGAUAGCGCAGGCAGCUUACCAGGCCACAACUGACACUGAAGCACGAAAGUGUGGGUAUCAAACAGGAUUAGAUACCCUGGUAGUCCACACAGUAAACGAUGAUUACUCGCUGUUUGCGAUAUACAGUAAGCGGCUUAGCGAAAGCGUUAAGUAAUCCACCUGGGGAGUACGCCGGCAACGGUGAAACUCAAAGGAAUUGACGGGGGCCCGCACAAGCGGAGGAACAUGUGGUUUAAUUCGAUGAUACGCGAGGAACCUUACCCGGGCUCGAACGGCAGCGGAAUGAUUGUGAAAGCAAUCAGUCGCAAGACCGCUGUCGAGGUGCUGCAUGGUUGUCGUCAGCUCGUGCCGUGAGGUGUCGGCUUAAGUGCCAUAACGAGCGCAACCCUUAUCGUUAGUUACCAUCAGGUCAUGCUGGGGACUCUAGCGAGACUGCCGCCGUAAGGUGAGAGGAAGGUGGGGAUGACGUCAAAUCAGCACGGCCCUUACGUCCGGGGCUACACACGUGUUACAAUGGGUGGGACAGAGAGGAGCAAGUUAGCGAUAAUGCGCGAAUCUUCAAACCCGCUCUCAGUUCGGAUCGAAGUCUGCAACCCGACUUCGUGAAGCUGGAUUCGCUAGUAAUCGCGCAUCAGCCAUGGC